AGAUGAUGUUGUCUGUCUAUUGUAAUGAAGCAACGACAGUAGCAACUCCCACGGCAACUGAGCAGAUAACGACUACACCAUCAGUCGUACCGCCCACGACGUAUUCCCCUACCACGCAGGGGACGUCGGCUGAACCUGUGUCCUCACCAACAUCCCAGAUCGUCACCACAGAGCCGUUGUCGUCGCCAACAUCGUUGGCCGUUCCAACUGAACUACCCGACACUCCUUUGCCAGUAACAGAAGAUACUCAUUUGGCCGUUUGUCCCAAGUCCUCCAUACCAG